rnacentral:rRNA from 1 species
AGAGUUUGAUCAUGGCUCAGGACGAACGCUGGCGGCGUGCUUAACACAUGCAAGUCGAGCGAGGCCCCGUCUUCGGGUGGGUGUCCUAGCGGCGAACGGGUGAGUAACACGUGGGCAACCUGCCCUCAGCUCUGGGAUAACUCCAAGAAAUUGGGGCUAAUACCGGAUGUGACCGCUGACCGCAUGGUCUGGUGGUGGAAAGAUUUAUCGGCUGGGGAUGGGCCCGCGGCCUAUCAGCUUGUUGGUGGGGUAGUGGCCUACCAAGGCGACGACGGGUAGCCGGCCUGAGAGGGUGACCGGCCACACUGGGACUGAGACACGGCCCAGACUCCUACGGGAGGCAGCAGUGGGGAAUAUUGCGCAAUGGGCGAAAGCCUGACGCAGCGACGCCGCGUGGGGGAUGACGGCCUUCGGGUUGUAAACCUCUUUCAGCAGGGACGAAGCGCAAGUGACGGUACCUGCAGAAGAAGCACCGGCCAACUACGUGCCAGCAGCCGCGGUAAUACGUAGGGUGCAAGCGUUGUCCGGAAUUAUUGGGCGUAAAGAGCUCGUAGGCGGUUUGUUGCGUCGGCUGUGAAAUCCCGAGGCUCAACCUCGGGUCUGCAGUCGAUACGAGCAAACUAGAGUGUUGCAGGGGAGACUGGAAUUCCUGGUGUAGCGGUGAAAUGCGCAGAUAUCAGGAGGAACACCGGUGGCGAAGGCGGGUCUCUGGGCAACAACUGACGCUGAGGAGCGAGAGCGUGGGGAGCGAACAGGAUUAGAUACCCUGGUAGUCCACGCCGUAAACGUUGGGCGCUAGGUGUGGGGCUCAUUCCACGAGUUCCGUGCCGCAGCUAACGCAUUAAGCGCCCCGCCUGGGGAGUACGGCCGCAAGGCUAAAACUCAAAUGAAUUGACGG